rnacentral:rRNA from 1 species
UAGAGUUUGGANCUGGCUCAGGAUGAACGCUGGCGGCGUGCCUAAUACAUGCAAGUCGAACGCACAGCGAAAGGUGCUUGCACCUUUCAAGUGAGUGGCGAACGGGUGAGUAACACGUGGACAACCUGCCUCAAGGCUGGGGAUAACAUUUGGAAACAGAUGCUAAUACCGAAUAAAACUCAGUGUCGCAUGACACAAAGUUAAAAGGCGCUUUGGCGUCACCUAGAGAUGGAUCCGCGGUGCAUUAGUUAGUUGGUGGGGUAAAGGCCUACCAAGACAAUGAUGCAUAGCCGAGUUGAGAGACUGAUCGGCCACAUUGGGACUGAGACACGGCCCAAACUCCUACGGGAGGCUGCAGUAGGGAAUCUUCCACAAUGGGCGAAAGCCUGAUGGAGCAACGCCGCGUGUGUGAUGAAGGCUUUCGGGUCGUAAAGCACUGUUGUAUGGGAAGAACAGCUAGAAUAGGGAAUGAUUUUAGUUGACGGUACC